GGGGCUAUAGCUCAGGCGGUUAGAGCGCUUCACUGAUAAUGAAGAGGUCCCAGGUUCAAGUCCUGGUAGCCCCACC
rnacentral:tRNA from 11 species